GUGGGAGGAAGGGCAGCCGCUCCGGCGAUACGCUGGAGAGGAAAGUCCAGACAGCACAGAGCAGGGUGCCCGAUGUAAGUCGGGGCCGGGUAACCGGUGGCAGAGCCACAGAGACGAGUGUCCGCCCUUUGGCGGAAGUGAAAAGGGCAUUCCCCCCCGCUGCAACCCGAAGCAUGGCCGUUGACGCUGCUCGCCGAGGCCAGGGUACGGGGCACCCGCUUCAACGCGGGCGGUUCGCUUGGCGAAUCGAGACAGAUGGCCGCCUGAAACAGAAUCUGGCUUACUCUCCUCCUGCGCGC
rnacentral:RNase_P_RNA from 2 species